rnacentral:rRNA from 1 species
GACGAGCCACACGAACGUUAUUCGGAAUUACUGGGCUUAAAGGGUGCGUAGGCGGUGCGGAAAGUUGGGUGUGAAAUCCCUCGGCUCAACCGAGGAACUGCGCCCAAAACUACCGCACUUGAGGAAGAUAGAGGUGAGCGGAACUCACGGUGGAGCGGUGAAAUGCGUUGAUAUCGUGAGGAACACCCGUGGCGAAAGCGGCUCACUGGGUCCUUUCUGACGCUGAUGCACGAAAGCUAGGGGAGCAAACGGG